rnacentral:tRNA from 1 species
AGGGAUUUAGCUCAGUGGUAGAGCGCUUGCCUAGCAAGCAUAAGGCCCUGGGUUCGGUCCCCAGCUCUG